rnacentral:rRNA from 1 species
GACGAACCGUCCAAACGUUAUUCGGAAUUACUGGGCUUAAAGGGUGCGUAGGCGGCGCGGAAAGUUGGGUGUGAAAUCCCUCGGCUCAACCGAGGAACUGCGCUCAAUACUACCGUGCUCGAGGGAGAUAGAGGUGAGCGGAACUUAGGGUGGAGCGGUGAAAUGCGUUGAUAUCCUAAGGAACACCGGUGGCGAAAGCGGCUCACUGGAUCUCUUCUGACGCUGAGGCACGAAAGCUAGGGUAGCGAACGGGG